AGCUUAAGGUCAUAAGGGUGUUCUAGUGAUGAAAGAGCUUAUGUUUCCCCUAGAAACGCGUUGAAAAAGGAAAAUUAAACUUACUUUAUGUAGUUCAUCCGAGUAAUGCUUCCUCCCUCUCUGCCUCCGAGUUGUUUGUCGAAAAGUAGUACGUAAACAAGAAGCGGACUUUAUUUUUCCUGUGUGCAGUGAACCAGUUUUGCAGGAUGAGCACUGCAAAUGAAGUUAAGCCAGAAGAUGCUAAACCGGUAUCUGAAAAAAAUAUAUAUUAUUGUGAAGUUUGUAAAGUUCCAUGUAUGAGUUCUAUAAGUCUUCAGUCACACUAUCGUGGUGCAAAGCAUAGAAAGGUAAUCUUUUCCCAUAUUGUGUGCAUAUAUGCAAAUUUGUCAUAAAUCUGGAAUUCUUGUAAAAUUGAGUAAUUGAUUUUGCAUGUCUGCAAGUGCUUAUGUAACUCAUUGGUAGCUCUGUAACACCAAUUUGCUUGAAAAGUCUCAAGAAAAAAUUUUGAGGUGGUAUCUCAUAACUGUUUUGUACAGCAUGUAACUGUUGAAAGGUACAAUAACUAAUGGUAAGCUUAAGUGUGCUAGCUGUAGGUUAAUGUUUAAAUUACACAGACAUUGCAGGAAGUGAAAGAAUGGAAACUUCAGGUUUGAAUUUAGUUGAUAAAAAUACUGUUCUGUUUUCAAAGUCCACAUAACUGACUUGUAUUUUGGUUAGUACUGACCUGUAUUUGCAUUCUGUAAACUAAAAAACAGCUUAUUAGAAUUUUUUUGAUGUAUGGUAACAUCGUUUCCUGAUUGCAUACAGCAGUUUAGUAGGCAUAACUACAUACCACAUGGUUCUAUUUGUUUGAAGUAUCUCAAUAGCAACUUCUGAUUUUCCUGUCUUUGCUUGUAUGUGUUUAAAUGGUUAGACAACUUUCUGCGAGUCUGAGAAGAGAGCUUUUGACUCAUGAUUGACUGACAAUCAAAUUUUGUUUUUUUAAACUUCACCUUCUCACUCAACAAAGUUUUGAGGCAUAGUCAGUUGUCCACGUUUUCUCCUGUAACUUAGGAU
rnacentral:lncRNA from 1 species